AUUACAUGCUAAGAUAUGAGUUAUGAAAUAUGAACAUGGGUGGUACAUGUCAGUCACAUAAUUCAUAGUUGUGCACAUAUUAUGUUUUCAUAGCUCUUGUGAUACAUGCAAAAUGAAUUGAAUUCCAUAUUAUGAUUUUUAUUAGCAUGAGUGUAAAGAAUGAUAAUGAUUUGCUCUAGCGGCAUAUUGCUUGUAAAGGAGUACCUAAGAACUCCUAUUGCUACGGGCCGAAUGCAACUGAGCCGGCCUUGCCAGUGGCCGAUAAUGACUGAGCCAGCCCCGCCAGUGGCCGACUAAUAACUGAGCAGGCCCCGCCAGUGACCAAUAAUGAAUUCGCCGUAGCAUCUAUGAGAUCACCACCAGUGACAGCUGCCAGAAGCAUUUUUCUUUUGCAACAGGGCUUCUUUAUUUUUGGGGAUGAUAUAAAUAAACUUUUGUGUAUAUAAACUAUGUAGAAGCUCUGUACUUUAUAUGAACCAGUGGGUUGUAAUACCUUCUUUUGAUAUAUACAAGUUACACUGCUUUUGACUA